GAUGAACGCUGGCGGCGUGCCUAAUACAUGCAAGUCGAGCGAACAGACGAGGAGCUUGCUCCUCUGACGUUAGCGGCGGACGGGUGAGUAACACGUGGAUAACCUACCUAUAAGACUGGGAUAACUUCGGGAAACCGGAGCUAAUACCGGAUAAUAUAUUGAACCGCAUGGUUCAAUAGUGAAAGACGGUUUUGCUGUCACUUAUGGAUGGAUCCGCGCCGCAUUAGCUAGUUGGUAAGGUAACGGCUUACCAAGGCAACGAUGCGUAGCCGACCUGAGAGGGUGAUCGGCCACACUGGAACUGAGACACGGUCCAGACUCCUACGGGAGGCAGCAGUAGGGAAUCUUCCGCAAUGGGCGAAAGCCUGACGGAGCAACGCCGCGUGAGUGAUGAAGGUCUUCGGGUCGUAAAACGCUUUUAUUAGGGAAGAACAAAUGUGUAAGUAACUAUGCACGUCUUGACGGUACCUAAUCAGAAAGCCACGGCUAACUACGUG
rnacentral:rRNA from 1 species